UACGCGGGGACAGAUCUAAAAAAACAUGUCUAUCGCUGCUAAUAUCUCCCUUUCCAAGCCGCCAUGAACUGUAGGCCUGCUGCGAUCGGAUCUGUCCAUCGCGCUCGCGCUGUUGCGCCGCCAUCUAGAAACGGAGAAGGGAAGGGGACGCCAGGACAGACAUGCGUCGAUCAGCGGACCACGGACAGGUUGCCGGCAAGCCGGACGCAUGGAUGUGCGGCAACAACAUGAGGGGAAAAGAUGUGAAGAGGAAGAGAGCAGAAUCAAUUCAUAUUUUUUUAAACCCAGUUGAUUCAAGCUCUCAACUGUCGGAAUAUGAUGCUACUGCAAACGAUGUGCAACACUUCAAUUGAUGCCAUGGUGUAGGCAAGAAGUAUUUUAUUUUGAACAUUUAGAAUUUCAUAAUACAUGAUAUUUAAUAAUUUUUCUCUAUUGAUUGCAUCAGGUGGUUACUGUCCAAAUCAUCUCCCUUCGGAGGAAAGGUGAAUAUGGGGAUUCCAAGAACCAAGGUUAUUGCUUUGGACAAGAUUGAAACAUCUAGCAAGCACAUCGAGCAGAAUAUACUACCAUGUGUGAAAGAUUUCGAUCACGAGUCAGUUAGGAAGGCAAUAGACUCAAUUACAUCCCAUCAGGGUCAAGAAGUUUUUUUUGCUGGC